CUUGUUCAGAUGCCAGCCUUCUCAGCAGGCCAUGGGUUGAUUCUCCAGGAUCCUCAGAAUUGAUUUCUCAUCCCAGAAUUCUCCACACUUGGUCCAGAGGCAUCUGUCUGGCUAAAAGAAGAAGACUGCUGCCCUACAGAAAGAUCCUACACACAGGAAUAUUCAAGUUGGAAAAAGAAGAGCUAAAAUGUCAAAAGUGGUUGGAGGAAUUAACAAGAAAAUCUUAAGAACUAUUUGAGUUAUAAUAAGAAUCUUGAGUCAAGAGGGAGAUGCACAGGCAACACAUCCAAUCAGACCAUCAGAAAAAAUAUGGCCCAUGAAUUCCAUUUGUUCUUUACUAAUUAAAAAAAAAAGUGUGGGUGUU